UGGGGGACGGGGAAACGGACGUUUGGCCGGGCUCGGUCGGAGGGCGGGUGCGGGUCCCCGCGUGUCACGCUCCAGCACGAGAGGACAAGGAGGGCAGGAGUGAUCACUGACUCGGUGCCUUGGACGGCGGAGCUCCUGUGUUGUUCCUUACGCGUGACGUUUUUUCAUCUCAAGGUGAUCCCAUAAAGUGGAUACUGUUACUAGCCCUAUUUUACAAUCUGCCCAAGAAGGGGUGAGGCCUGGAAGUGAGGCGCGCAGAGAUGGGACGUACACCACCAAGUCUGGAGAGGGCGCCUCCAGAUGCUUCUUUGCAGGGCUUGCUGCCUCUUGAACCAUGAACUUUCUCUCAAAAGCCAUCUGGUUUCUCGUCUCGAAAACAUCCCACGACAGCUCUGAGUGCUACAAACCAGGCUGGGUCAUCUGCUGCUGCUGGCUUCCAGAUAUUGCUCCAAACGUUUCUGCAAGGCUGGUGACGUCCCAAGACACUGAGACUUUAGAUGCCCACUGCCCAAUAUUUGGUAGUGCUCACAAAACAUGUCGAUGGAGAAAAAAGUAUGACUGCAACACGGGGCAGCAAUAGGUAACAGGGAAGACCUGCGCGCACACUAGGUUUACGCCCCGCUUCAUUUGAGGCCCUUGGAGGAAGCUGGAAAAGCAUGUAUGUAGUUCAGUAAUCUCCAACUGGUCUUUCUGUGCAUGAACUCAAGAGCUGGAACUGUAUUACAAAGCAAGGAGCUGGUGCUCAGCAUUCAGCAGGGAGUUCUCAGGGGCCUACGUCCAGGAUUUUAGACGAUGUUCACCUUUUCAUGAGUGAACUUACCAAGAGUAACUUAAAUCACAGCUUUAGGUAUUCUAACAACAGCUUGUUACAUCCUUGGGCACAGUUACAUGAGGAUGCACCUACAUAUCCAUCAGCAGGUGUGGGGGGAUAGCUCCAACAAAUACCUUUGACCUUGAAGAGACAAACCUGACCACUGUAGUGUGGCCUCAGGCUCUAAAUGCAUGCCUCAGUGCAGCCAGACUUGCUCAACGCCCAGGCAAGGCCACAGAUGGUACCCAGUGCUUCUGUGCGGCUGAAGAAUAUAGUGUAGAGAUCCUGAUGUUUGUUAAUUGCUGCUCUUCCUUCUUUUUUCCUUUCUUUUUAAGAUCUUCUCAUGCAGCAAAGUUCCUGUCUACCAACAUGAGUUGCAGUCUAAAGCCACAGUGAAUUUUGUGACAGUAACAUUAACAAUCCAAUGGAAUAGAAACAUUCUAGUCUUCCAUAAACGUACUGAACAUGGAGAACAGAAAUGAUUCUAGGCAUGACUUUGGUUUUUUUAAUUCUUCUUGAGGGAGAUAUAAAGAGCACAGCAUCUUUGAAUUCUUGAGGCACUGUCACAAUACGCCAUGUGUUAUGGAAAAGCUGACACAUAAAUAUGGGUCAUUAUUACUCUCCUUCUAAGAACUGCAAGAGAGAGAGUGAGAGAGAGAGAGAGAGAGAGAAGCUGCAGCAAUCCAGACCAGACCAUGUGCUAACACCAAACAGAAGAAGAAACGAUCAUAUACACACUCACUAUACACUGGACUCCUUACUCUGUACAUACCCUCUGUUCUUUGGUCCAGGUCCCUCAUGAGCUGGAAGUUUCUCUGCAGUUCAAAUGGGAGGUUUUCAAUACCUGGGGAGAAGAGGAGAAAUUGAGCCUCCCUGGACGUCCUAGGCCCUACCGCUGCUUU